ACCCGCCUUAGUAGUUAUUACCGUUUGCGGUUUUGGAAACUUAAAAGCAGGGCGAGACAUUUGUUUUGGGGGGACAAAUGGCCCAAGCUAACAGCACUUUUCAUCUUACUGCCGAGUUAAACACAUUAUAAGAUGAGGCUAAAAACCAGGCUUAACCUGCUUAUUUAAAAAAAUGAAAUUCAGUUCUAAACUGUUUUCCCUAGAGGUCCAGCAAGGGUCAUCUCUUAUAUUUUUUCAGGAUUACUAUUGGAGAAAACCUAAACACAGAAGCGUGC